CUGCUAGUAAUUCACAAGUUUUCAAAAUGUAACCGUAAUCUAAAUUUUGUGUUUUUUUGAGGAACUUUGUUUUUGUAUCCUGAUUAUUUAAUCCUGUUAAAUGUAAUCUGUUACUCCCCAUGAAAGGCUAUCACAAACCUUCAAAUAUGAGUCUGUUUGUCUGAACAUCAGUUACACUUUGCAAAGAAGCCAUAUUCGUGCUGCUGAGGAUCUUUUUUCUAUUAUUAAACUGGUGAGUAAUGCUGAUUGACGCUGGGGGUGGAGAUUGUGGGCUUCUACAUCCGCCACAUUUGGUACUUUAACCUCAACCCUAAUGUAUCGUCUCAUGUUAACUGACCAGACUUCGCCACUGACACAGCUUGACGAUAAGAAGAACCACUACGGGCGAUGGCAGCAGGAAUUGUAUUUUUGGAUGUCUUUCUGGUUCUAUUUCCUGUGGCAGUUCAACUGUCAUCCGGGUGUGUUUCCUACCACAGCCAAGACAUAUGUGGCUUGAAGGGCUCAUAUGUACUGUUUCCCUGCAGAAGAAAUACUCAGCAGAUCUCGAGUUCAGGAUGGUCCAGAAAAGUUAUCCCUAACUUGACACCUGAAUCCUUGAGCCUGAUGCCAUCUUAUUCAUCUCGAAUGAUAAACCUUACACGUGACGCCAAUGACUGCAGGAUGGAACUGAGUAACUUAAGAAGUACUGAUGCAUCCACUUACUAUUUUGUAUACAACUAUCGAAAUAGUAAUGGUGAUAUGGUGAAAUGCAAUGGUUUACCUGGUGUGAUGCUCCACAUUUUGGAUUCUCCUGUGAGAAUCGUAUUAGGCAGGUUCAUACAAAAUCAGUAUGUGCCUGUUGCAGGUUUGAACGUGAUGGAGGGUCAGAAUAUAAUGCUGACUUGUGUCCAGACCUGUUCUGCAAAUCAGAAACAAAGCUCAAACUACAACUGGUACCAUAACGGCAAGGAAAUAAAAAGCGGAAGAGCAAACUCUCCAUUUCUCAUUUUGAACAAAAUAAAAAUAAAAAAUGCAGGCAGUUACGUCUGCGUCCUGAUUCACUACGAAAAAUUCCCCUCGGCUGCUUUCAAUCUCACAGUCCAGGGAUGUCCCAAAGGCACUGUAGGGGAUCCAGUCGCUGAUCCUAGCCCACCCAAAUCCCCCACUGGUAAACUCAAAAGCAAAAGCCUGUUUAUACUCUCUGUAAUGUGUGUAGCUUGUUUGUGCAUUGGAUUGGUAACGUCAAUUACUUUGGGAUUAGUGAUCAGAGCGAAGAAGAGAAGAUGUGCUCAACCCGGGACUCCUGACCCCAACCUGGACUCUAGAUACAUGCAUCUGGAGAAGAACUAUAUGUCGACUGAAUACGAGACAAUGAGACCCUGCGCUGCUGCGGAAACUGUUUAUGAGAACUGACACCAAAACUCUCUGGGAUUUUUUAAAGCAGCCCACCAUCAGUGUAAUAUGUAAUAUUCCAUGUUCAGUGUUUAUUUUAUCAUGUCUACAGUGUACUACAAGUUUUAUUAUAUAUUUAUUAGUUUGGCAUGUGCAGUUAUGUAUAUCGACUGCAUUCCUUCUAAUAGCCAGAAUUGGUUGACUCCACAAAGAAGAGCCAUUGUAUAGAAGUCUUCAAGAAAAUGAUCCUAUUUAUCAGAAUGUAUCACUCAAUAAACAUUUACAUUGUUGUUGGUCUAAUUUUGAAGUCUUUUUCAAUAUAGCAUGAUGUUCAUUUUGUAAAUUCAAAACGAUUGACCACUAACCAAUGUGUGACGCCACAGUGAUGACGUCCUGCUUUUAAAUACAGUUAAUGCUUUGAACACAGCAAACAGUUCUCCAUCGGUUAGCUUAAUAGC